GUUUUAAUAAUUUAAUAAAAAUAUUGAUUUUGUAAAUCAAAUUUAAGAAUUAAUUUCUUCUUUUAAAACU
rnacentral:tRNA from 1 species